UAAGCCCACAAACAGCCCUCUCUUCGUCUUUGUAUUUUCUUUUCAUAAAAAAACGUGAACACUGUUCAUCUUCUCGGGAGAACCAGUACCUUCUGCGUCCGCAGCGAUUCCCCAUUGAAAAUUUCCGUUUCCUCUUCCCAAUCAACCCCCCCCCCCCCCCCCCCCACCCACAGCACUCACACUUCCUCUUCCCACGAUCUCCGCUCGAAUCGGAAACAGAUGGAGGAAUCCGACCAGUUUCCGCAUAGUUCGCCCCCUUUAAAAUCUCUGCUCCACCUCCCCCGCCCUCGCUAUCAUGAACCUCCAGUACAGACAGGGGUUCUUCCAAAUCGCUCAUACCGUCAGUGCUUCUGGUGUGGGACGUCUUGGCUGCCGAACAAUCCGUUUUACACCUUCCUCACAGAAGUUCAAGACCAUUCAGGGAAAAGGGGAAUCUCCAUAGAUCCUUACCAGUAUGGAUAUAUUUCAGCGCACGAAGCAUCUGGUAGAUAAAGAACUGAUAGUGCUCCUUUGUCAAGUCAUCAUUAGCCUUGAUGACCUGGUGGAGGUCCAUAUCCAUGAGCUCGAAAAGUACAUACACCCAAGUAUAGGUAUGUUAUUAGUGCCUCCUAAAAUCAUUUUUUUUUUCCUCAAACGAAAUUCUUGCAUUCUGUCAGUUGGUUGCUUACAUUUCGGUUUUCUUCAUCUAAAAAACAUUUUUGUUAGAUGAGUACCACCUUUCACCCCUUUAGAUCCACUGGUAUUUGUUAGAUUUGCAAACGUGGAUAGAGCAGAACUUUCUUCAUGUAAUACAGGUUUGAAUUCCAUUCCCCUUGGUCAUGAACGUCAAGGAGGAAUGUCACGUGUCCGUGGACGCCGACGACGUCGGUCAUCACCUAAUCCUACUCCCCAACCCAAACCCAUAUGUUGCUGUGGAAAACCGUCGUAGGCGUAUACAUCUCAUGCCUAAAAAUAUAAACAGAGGUUUGUUAGGCAUAUUCUAUUCCUUCAACUAUGUAAGCUUUAGAUACCAUUUCUCUUGGUUCAUUUAACCAUAUCAUACUUUUUAUGGAUAAAGAAACAGCCUUCGUCGAGGGACAUCGUACGAACCGUUAAAUCAAGAAUCAUCUGAAUCAACAUCACACACUCAACAUCCAAUCUUUACACAUAGCCGUAAGCUUCUAUUUUCUUUAAUAUUUGUACCUUAAGAGUGUCUGUGCAAUUCACGUUUAAAUAAAAGCAUCCCUUCCCGGAUAAUCUUUUAGGGACUAUAUUUCAACCCUUAAACCUUGGAGGACCCAAACAUUCAUGCAAACAUUGCGGCGCCCUGUUUUGGUACGAAGAGCGUUUAUGCAGAGAUAGAACUACUCCAAAUCCAAUCUAUAAUUCGUGUUGUAAAGGAGGAAAAGUGUUCCUGGAGCCAUCUGAUCCUCCUCCUCAGCCCCUCAUGGAUUUAUUGACUUCAAAAGAUAAAGCACUAUCAAAGCCCUUUUUGAUCUUAUUCGCCAAUACAAUACCAUGUUAUGACUUCAAUGGGAGCUAAAGGUAAUGAGUCCAUAAAUGUUGGUGGAUGCCCAUAUGUUUUCAAAAUUACUGGCCAGCCCUGCCACCGUAUCGGCUCUCUGAAGAAAAUACUACUACUAUGAAAAGGCAGAAGGAAGAGUAUGUAUCAUUUCACACAAACUAUAUUACAUAUUAUCAUCAGUUAUAUGCUUCUCUCUCAAAUAUUUAUAGUUCUACAUCUUCUCUUAAGAAGCAAUGCUGACAAUAAUGAUGCGGCAAACAACUCCGAGCAGUAAGAGUAAAGCCAAUCUGCAUAAGGCAUAUCAUAGAACAUAUACAAGUAUGUGACCAACAAAUAAGAAGAUUUCCAUCCUAUGACGACAUAAUAUUUCCUGGGUUGAUAAUACCAAUACCCGCAGUGAUCAGCUUAUGUUGUGACAGAGAAAUGUGACUGAGAAACAUCCUCAUCUGAAGAAAAGUUUUGUAAACUAUAUCUAUAUCCUCAACUCCGUCUAUCGUACCUGCAUGGAUAUUAUUAACGAACCCAGCUUUUAGUUUUGCUUUCAACACUUUCAAGUUUCCGCUGGUCAAUUAUGUACAUAUUGAUGUGGCUUACAUUUUUGUUCUUAUGAUUUCAUAUGUCUUACAACCAGACAA